rnacentral:rRNA from 1 species
UACGUAGGGUGCAAGCGUUGCCCGGAUUUAUUGGGCGUAAAGGGCGCGUAGGCGGCUCUGCACGUCCGUUGUGAAAUCGCCCGGCUCAACUGGGCGGGGUCAGCGGAUACGGCAGAGCUUGAGCAAGCUAGGGGGCAAUGGAAUUCCCGGUGUAGUGGUGGAAUGCGUAGAUAUCGGGAGGAACACCAGUGGCGAAGGCGGUUGCCUGGAGCUUGCUGACGCUGAGGCGCGAAAGCCAGGGGAGCAAAGCGGG